UAGGGAAUCUUCGACAAUGGACGAAAGUCUGACCGAGCAACGCCGCGUGAGUGAAGAAGGUUUUCGGAUCGUAAAACUCUGUUGUUAGAGAAGAACAAGGACGUUAGUAACUGAACGUCCCCUGACGGUAUCUAACCAGAAAGCCACGGCUAACUACGUGCCAGCAGCCGCGGUAAUACGUAGGUGGCAAGCGUUGUCCGGAUUUAUUGGGCGUAAGGCGAGCGCAGGCGGUUUCUUAAGUCUGAUGUGAAAGCCCCCGGCUCAACCGGGGAGGGUCAUUGGAAACUGGGAGACUUGAGUGCAGAAGAGGAGAGUGGAAUUCCAUGUGUAGCGGUGAAAUGCGUAGAUAUAUGGAGGAACACCAGUGGCGAAGGCAGCUCUCUGGUCUGUAACUGACGCUGAGGCUCGAAAGCGUGGGGAGCAAACAGG
rnacentral:rRNA from 1 species